CAUCCCUCCCCCCAAAAAAUGGGCCUAUAUAGUGCAUUAACCCUGGUGAGCAGUGAGGGAAUUUGCAGAAGUUGGCCGUGUUGUUGCCAUGGUAACAUGACCUAACAUAACCAUAAGCUGACAUUUUUUUCUCUCCCGAAAGGUCAGAAAGAGAAACUCAGUUACGGUUUUCCUGAUGGGGAGAUGCUGGUUCAAAAAUGUAUUAAAAGAACCUUGUUUGCUCAGUUGAUCUUUAUUUUUUACUAAAAGUAAAGUGUUUGUUUUAAUAGAAACUUUUCAUUUCAGAGUUUCAGAAUGAUGCUCUGGUUGAACUAUGGUGUCUGGCGCGUUUUAAUUGAGCUUCGUCGCGGUGUGUGGGAACGGCGCGUCUCUGAAACGAAGUUGCAAAACACACUUUGGACAGACCCUCGGCUUCGCCUUUCUGCUGCACAUGAAAAGAGGGCGGGGCUGUAGGGCUCGAUCAGCGCGUGAGCUGAAGGUUUCCCUCCAACCGCUGGAACAUCUGCGUGAUGAACAUGUUUGAUAGAAAACCAAAUGAAUUCAGGAGAGGCGUUGGACUGUAUAUAAGAACUGGACUCAGCGACUGUGACGGCAUCUGUAGAAAACGGUGUACUUAUGGAUCCAACGAAACGAGGUCGAUUCAGUCGCCAUUUUGUCGCGUUACAGACGCCACCAUGUUGGAGCCAGACGACACUUUACUGUAAGAACCACAGCGGCAACGAGGAGCGGGACGAAGAGGACGAGGAACGGGAGAACCGCAGCCGAGAGAGGGCAGCGAUCGAUCACGGAGGAACGCCGUCCACACUCGCGAACGGCAACUAGGUUCGGUCCAAGACGGCUGAUGGGGAGGAAAACGGAAGACGACAGGAGAGAUAUUUUUUUAUACCAAAUCUUAGCCUUCUCACGUGGUUUAGGAGCUCCCUCAAAAAGACUUUUCUUCCAGUGGUUGGACGUAAUGUUCCAAUGUCCACCAGAUGUUGUCUUUCUAUGAAACCCCACUUUAAAGCUUUUCACAGACCAGUGCUUCUGUCGGGCCCCCGGAGGGCCUCAGCCUCAUGGAAACCCCUCCAGAUCAGGUUAAGGGCGCGGAUAAGCGAUGGACCCUUCUCUGGAACUCCUCACUGACCCUCGGAUCACAGGAACCGCAGCUGCUGAAGGCUGAAGCUCUCUGGAGGACGGCCUUUGAAGAGGGGUUCAUCUGUUCCUGGUCUCUAUGAAGUCGUGCAGUUUGAUUACCUUGUUUCUGUAAUCGUGUCUUAACGCGCUUUCAUGUUAGCCACUCUUUUUUUUUUUUUUUUUUGACAUCUUUUUGCUACGGCGUUAUCUUCAUGAGAACUUCUGAAGUUUCGGAGCGGGUCACGAGUUUUGGCCGGCGUGCGUCUGGAUUUGUUCCCCCGGCCCGCGGAGGAGGUCGGAGUUUUUCAUUUGGCGCCCGACGGGGGAAACGCCGAGGCCUUUAGGGGGGCGCCUGGCUCCACUCUGUUCCCUGCAGAUGUAUUCAUGAAUGAUUUGAAUAGAAAAUAUUUUUAUUUUACACAUCGAUGAGUGAAUUCUCUGUUUUUCUAAGUGCAUUCAGAAGAGUUUUGAGGCAGUGACUUUUUUUAUAUCUCUUUUUUUUUUUUUUUUUUUACAUUUCUGGUGACAAAAAUUAAACUUCCGCAUCAAAAACCACAUUUAUUGAAAAUUUGCUCUACCUAUUGUUUGUGUUUAUCAAUGAUACAAAUAUAAGUGACUGGAGGAGGAAGACGAUGCAGAGGAUAGAGCUGGAUGAAGAGGAUUCGCUAAAGGGAGAAGCUGACAGACGAAGAAGAAAAACAUUGACUUGACAUUCGAAAGGGAUGAGAAGUAACUUAUUUUCUCGCUCAUGGAAGAUAAUAUCCAGGUUUUUGAUAAAGUAUCCAGUAUAAAUGAGAAAUUAGGGGACAUUUGUUUCAAACAUGGUAAUAAAAUGGCAAAAUAUGGUGGAUAAUAAUAAUAAAGCAGUUUGAAAGGGAGCAGGCAGAAGCUUAGCUGUUUAAAGUCUGCCCCUUCAAAAUAAUGGAUAAUUUAAUCAUAAUUUAACAGGCAGUCAUUUGGCUCAUCAAUAUGCACCAAAAAUUACAAAUGAUAGCUGCUAUAGAUGAGAUAAAUUCAUCUCAAGUAUGUGGAAAGAUGUCAGUUUUAAGCCUUCUUUAUGUUUCUUAUCUGAGCUUAUAGUGCCCAAAAUUUGAAUUAUUUGAAGUGGUCUUAAAUAUUUAUUGAUUAAUAACUUUUUGUAAGACGUAUAAAGUUUUACAGUGGAAUAAUCGAGAUCGACAUAAUUAUAGAUAUCGAAUAAAUAAAGCCAAUUUUAUUGACAUAUACUGAAUAUAUUCUUUAUUGUUAGGUAUUAUUAAAGCCCUAAAUCCGUUUCAUGAGUAUUUAACAAUACAAAUGUAUGUUUCUACGGAGUUAAUACAAAACUAAAAUAAAGUGAAAGUUUUUGGCACAACAAUAAGAAAUGAUGCAAGAACAUUAUUAUUUUAAAGGGACUUAAAAUGCUAUUAACCACUGCAGACAAAGUUACAAUAAAUCCUCUUGUGUCAACAAAUAAUGUUUUUAAAGUGUUUCUGUCUAAAAAGUAAACGGUCUUAACCAUUUGUGUGUUUACAGUUUGAUUCGUUUGAAUAUUAACAAUGUAGCCUUCAACUAGCAUUUGAGAAAGCUUAGCGCUGGACGCUGUCAGUUCCGAUUGGGCGAGCACCAAUCAGGAGAACGUCUGCAGAACGCGCAGAUGUGUAGACGAAGGGGCAAGAAGAAGAAGAAGGGGAACUGCUUUAGGGAUUAUGUGAAUGUGGAAAAGAUUUGACGCAGAAAACACACAAGAAGAUCCUUGAAUGACCGACUUUCAAGAGUUUGGGGGAACCCGGAGUUUGCGUGUUGUCCUCGUGUGUGCGUGGGUUGUCUCCGUACACUCUGGUUUCCUCCAAAACGUCCCAAAUUACCAGGCAGAAAAUAAGAAUUUAACCAAACAAGACCUCGCAGACCUGCUACUUCUUUUAUUUAUUAAUUUUUAAUUUUGUCUCUGGUGUUCACCUCCACAGUAGUCACUCAGUUACAGGGUCGUCGCUGUGGAUCUCCUGAAAGUCUGUGUUGCUUAGCAACAUCCCAGCUCUUGAGAAGAUCUGCAAGGAAGAAUGGACCUAAAUGCAUGCUAGAGUAUGUAAAAAACCUAGUUAAGACUCCGGGAAACCUUUGACCUGAGAACCAGGGUUAAAC
rnacentral:lncRNA from 1 species